rnacentral:rRNA from 1 species
GACAGAGGGUGCAAACGUUGUUCGGAAUUACUGGGCGUAAAGCGCGUGUAGGCGGCUAAGUAAGUCGGGCGUGAAAUCCCACGGCUCAACCGUGGAAGUGCACUCGAAACUGCAUAGCUAGAGUCCUGGAGAGGAAGGUGGAAUGCUUGGUGUAGAGGUGAAAUUCGUAGAUAUCAAGCGGAACACCGGUGGCGAAGGCGGCCUUCUGGACAGUGACUGACGCUGAGACGCGAAAGCGUGGGAGCGAACAGG